CGCAAAAGCUGCUCUAUCCACACUGAAAAGGAAAGAGCAGGAAGCAAAUGCUAGAGUUCGGAAGCAGUUUCAAGGGCUCCUUGACAAGAAGCCAGGUGAACUAUCUAAAGAGACGCUCGAGCCAAGAGAGGUAGCUGAGAACAGUGCGCGAUCCGAAGAGCAGCAGCCUGAGGAAAUUGUUAAUCCACCUUCCUCUUUGAGGCAACGAAUGAAAACUAUUUGGAACGC